rnacentral:rRNA from 1 species
GCACAGGUGCUGCAUGGCCGUCGUCAGCUCGUGCCGUGAGGUGUUGGGUUAAGUCCCGCAACGAGCGCAACCCCCGCCGUUAGUUGCCAGCGGUUCGGCCGGGCACUCUAACGGGACUGCCCGCGAAAGCGGGAGGAAGGAGGGGACGACGUCUGGUCAGCAUGGCCCUUACGGCCUGGGCGACACACGUGCUACAAUGCCCACUACAAAGCGAGGCCACCCGGCAACGGGGAGCUAAUCGCAAAAAGGUGGGCCCAGUUCGGAUUGGGGUCUGCAACCCGACCCCAUGAAGCCGGAAUCGCUAGUAAUCGCGGAUCAGCCAUGCCGCGGUGAAUACGUUCCCGGGCCUU